CCUACGGGAGGCAGCAGUCGGGAAUAUUGCGCAAUGGAGGAAACUCUGACGCAGUGACGCCGCGUAUAGGAAGAAGGUUUUAGGAUUGUAAACUAUUUUAGACAGGGAAGAAAAAUGACUGUACCUGUAGAAUAAGCUCCGGCUAACUACGUGCCAGCAGCCGCGGUAAUACGUAGGGAGCAAGCGUUAUCCGGAAUUAUUGGGUGUAAAGGGUGCGUAGACGGGAAUACAAGUUGGUUGUGAAAUCCCUCAGCUUAACUGAGGAACUGCAACCAAAACUAUAUUUCUUGAGUGCAGGAGAGGAAAGCGGAAUUCCUAGUGUAGCGGUGAAAUGCGUAGAUAUUAGGAGGAACACCAGUGGCGAAGGCGGCUUUCUGGACUGUAACUGACGUUGAGGCACGAAAGUGUGGGGAGCAAACAGGAUUAGAUACCCUAGUA
rnacentral:rRNA from 1 species